UUUCCGUAGGUGAACCUGCGGAGGGAUCACUCACAUGAUUACUUUUAUAUUAACAAACUGUGAACUUUAUAUACUAUUCGUGUUAUAUUUUCUUAUAACAUUGUCAUUCGUUGAACGUAAGAUAGUUGGCUUGAAUUUUUAAAAUUCUCUCUCAGCUUUGAUUUGACUGAAAAUUAAACACUUUCGAUCAAUCAACCAUAAACAUAGAAACAACUCUAUGCCCUGGAUAUCUUGGUUCUC
rnacentral:misc_RNA from 1 species